rnacentral:rRNA from 1 species
UACGUAGGCAGCAAGCGUUUGUUCGGAGUUACUGGGCGUAAAGGGUGCGUAGGCGGCUCUAUAAGUAUGGUGUGAAAUCUCCCGGCUUAACUGGGAGGGUGCGCUAUAGACUGUGGGGCUAGAGUGUGGGAGAGGAAAGUGGAAUUCCUGGUGUAGCGGUGAAAUGCGUAGAUAUCAGGAGGAACACCGGUGGUGUAAACGGCUUUCUGGACCAUAACUGACGCUGAGGCACGAAAAGCGUGGGUAGCAAACAGG